UGCCGGGUAGCUAUGUACGGAAGGGAUAACCGCUGAAAGCAUCUAAGCGGGAAGCCCCACCCAAGAUUAGGUUUCCCUGGAUCCAUGAGAUCCCUGAAGGGUCAUCGGAGACUACGAUGUUGAUAGGUCAGGUGUGGAAGCUCAGUAAUGAGUGAAGCUAACUGAUACUAAUUACCCGUGAGGCUUGGUCUUAUAACA
rnacentral:rRNA from 1 species